rnacentral:rRNA from 1 species
AUUGAACGCUGGCGGAAUGCCUAACACAUGCAAGUCGAACGAGCUGUAGCAAUACAGCUAGUGGCGGACGGGUGAGGAACACAUAGGAAUCUACCUUCUAGUGGGGGAUAACCCGGGAAACUCGGAUUAAUACCGCAUAAGAUCUACGGAUGAAAGUGGGGACCGCAAGGCCUCACGCUGUUAGAUGAGCCUAUGUCCGAUUAGCUAGUUGGUAGGGUAAUGGCCUACCAAGGCGACGAUCGGUAGCUGGUUUGAGAGAACGAUCAGCCACACUGGAACUGAGACACGGUCCAGACUCCUACGGGAGGCAGCAGUGGGGAAUAUUGGACAAUGGGCGCAAGCCUGAUCCAGCAAUUCCGCGUGGGU